rnacentral:rRNA from 1 species
GAUGAACGCUGGCGGCGUGCCUAAUACAUGCAAGUCGAGCGAACAGACGAGGAGCUUGCUCCUCUGACGUUAGCGGCGGACGGGUGAGUAACACGUGGAUAACCUACCUAUAAGACUAGGAUAACUUCGGGAAACCGGAGCUAAUACCGGAUAAUAUAUUGAACCGCAUGGUUCAAUAGUGAAAGACGGUUUUGCUGUCACUUAUAGAUGGAUCCGCGCCGCAUUAGCUAGUUGGUAAGGUAACGGCUUACCAAGGCAACGAUGCGUAGCCGACCUGAGAGGGUGAUCGGCCACACUGGAACUGAGACACGGUCCAGACUCCUACGGGAGGCAGCAGUAGGGAAUCUUCCGCAAUGGGCGAAAGCUUGACGGAGCAACGCCGCGUGAGUGAUGAAGGUCUUCGGAUCGUAAAACUCUGUUAUUAGGGAAGAACAAAUGUGUAAGUAACUAUGCACGUCUUGACGGCACCUAAUCAGAAAGCCACGGCUAACUACGUG